rnacentral:snRNA from 1 species
AUGCUCACUUUGGCAGCACAUAUACUAAAAUUGGAAUGAUAAAGAGAUCAGCAUGGCCCCUGUGCAAAGAUGACACAAUAUGUGAAGCAUUCCAUAUUUUU